rnacentral:misc_RNA from 1 species
AAGUCGUAACAAGGUAACCGUAGGUGAACCUGCGGUUGGAUCAUUAUUGAUUUUGUUAAAUAAUAACCAAAAAAUUUAACAGUGUUUGGUGUAAAAACCAUUCGCAUACACCUGUGAACUGUGACUGUUUCUGGGUCCUAAUGCUCUCGAGCGACAGGGCCCGACAUAUUAACUAUAUACUAAUGUCUGAAUAAAUUUAAAUAAAAACAACUUUUGACAACGGAUCUCUUGGCUCUC